rnacentral:rRNA from 1 species
AAGAUAUAAUUUGAUUUUAAAAAAAUUUAAUUUUUAAACUAGGAUUAGAUACCCUAUUAUUUUAAGCUUAAUGUUGGUAGUAAGUAAAAAUUAUGAAAUCAUAAAAUUUUGGCGGUAUUUUAAGCUUGUUAGAGGAAUUUGCUCUAUAAUGGAUACAACGCCUAUAUCUUACUUAAUUUUGUAAUUAAAGUCAGUUUGUAUACCACUAUAUUUAAUUAUAUUGAAUAAUUAUAUUUAAGAUUUUUAUACAAAUAUAUAUUAAGUCAAGGUGCAACAAAUAAUUA